GCAGGAAUACCCGAGCGGUCAAAGGGGGUGGACUCAAGAUCCUCUGGCGUAGGCCUACAAGGGUUCGAAUCCCUUUUCCUGCA
rfam:Methanobacterium sp. AL-21, complete genome.